rnacentral:lncRNA from 1 species
AAAGCCUUACUUUGAGUGUAACUUGAAAUUCAUAUUUACAACCACUAUGAAAAUCAACGCGCGCUGCCACCGCAGCUGCCAGAGCCAGCGCCUGGGGGGCCCCGAGUCGCGACACCGCGCCAGCGAGGAUGUGCGCAGCGACUUCCAGCGCAGGGUGCCCUACAACUACCUGCAGCGGGCCUACCUCAAGCUUGACCUUUUAGAGGAAGCAGUGCAGGCAGCACACACGUUUUUCAUGGCCAACCCUGAGCACAUGGAAAUUCAGCAGAGCAUUGAGAAUUAUAGGACCAUGGCUGGCGGGGAAUCAUUCCAGCUGGUAGACCGAGAGGCCAGACCACACUUGGAAAGCUACAGUGCAGCUCUGAAACAUUAUGAGGCCGAUGAUUUUGAAGUGGCUGUCAAGUACUUCGAAAAGGCUUUGAGAGACUAUUUCAGUGAAGAUACGGAGUGCCGGAUCCUAUGUGAGGGGCCUCAGAGAUUUGAAGAGUACGACUACUUACGGUAUAAAGCCGGUCUCUAUGAAACCAUUGCAGAUCACUACAUGCAGGUGCUGGUUUGUCAGCAUGAGUGCGUGAGGGAGCUCGCCACUCGCCCCGGCCGCCUCUCACCCAUUGAGAACUUCCUUCCUCUGCAUUACGACUACCUACAGUUCGCCUACUACCAAGUUGGUGAUUAUGUAAAAGCUUUGGAAUGUGCCAAGGCCUACCUCCUCUUCCAUCCUGAUGAUGUGGAUGUGCUGGACAAUGUAGAUUACUAUGAAAGUCUGAUGGAGGCUGGAAUGGACUCAGCAUCUGUUGAGGCUAGAGAGGAUGCGGCAAUGUUUGUGAAACGUCAUAAACUUGAAGCUGAACUAAUAAAAUCAGCUGCAGAGGGUCUUGGAUUCUCAUACACUGAACCAAAUUAUUGGAUCAGAUAUGGAGGACGACAAGAUGAGAAUCGGUAAGUCUUGUAUUCGCAUUUUUUUGCGCCUUUUCAUUGAAAAGAAAUACAGAACAUAUUAUAAGGAACUUAGCCGUGUGACACUGGUAAACUACACACACACACACACACACACACACUCACAAACAGUUUUGUGCUACAAAUUAAGAGAC